AUAUUAUAAAUUACAUUUGUGAAAAUGUCAGUGUUAAGGCUAACAAAAUUGACAAAAUAAUCAAUAAAUUGACUCUUCGAUAUGCUGACGUUUUGAAAGAGAUUUAUCAGUUCAAUUUGCAAACAAUGCAUCAUCCGUUGGAGUUUACUGGAAUGGGUUUUUUCCCCUUGGGCAACAAAUUUUUCAUAAAGUUCUGCGUAACAAUUACAACGUAUUUGAUCAUCGUUAUACAAAUGUCGAACGCCUGAAGACUUCAUAUUAAGUUUAGAAUCCCAAAAGCGCAUCAAAAUAAUUAUCUGUAAUUACAUCGAUUAUAUGCGUGUAUAUCACUUGCCAGUGUAG